rnacentral:rRNA from 1 species
GUGAGGAAUUUUCCGCAAUGGGCGAAAGCCUGACGGAGCAAUGCCGCGUGAAGGAUGAAGGCCUAUGGGUUGUAAACUUCUUUUCUCAGAAAAGAAUUAUGACGGUAUCUGAGGAAUAAGCAUCGGCUAACUCUGUGCCAGCAGCCGCGGUAAGACAUAGGAUGCAAGCGUUAUCCGGAAUGAUUGGGCGUAGAGCGUCUGUAGGUUGUUUAAGAAGUAUUCUGUCAAAGAUUAGGGCUUAACCCUAGAUAGGCAGAAUAAACUUUUAAGCUAGAGUUUGGUAGAGGCAGAGGGAAUGCUCGGUGGAGCGGUGAAAUGCGUAGAUAUCGGGAGGAACACCAAAGGCGAAGGCACUCUGCUGGGCAAAUACUAACACUGAGAGACGAAAGCGUGGGGAGCAAAUGGGAUUAGAUACCCCUGUAGUCC